rnacentral:misc_RNA from 1 species
GAUGAAGAACGUAGCGAAAUGCGAUAAGUAAUGUGAAUUGCAGAAUUCAGUGAAUCAUCGAAUCUUUGAACGCACCUUGCACCCUUUGGCAUUCUGAAGGGUAUGCUCGUUUGAGUGUCAUUGUACUCUCACACUCCCGAUCUUUGCAUUGGGAGCAGUGGACUUGGGUUUGCUGCUUCACCGUCGCUUACCUCAAAUAGGUUAGUGCAACUCUUGGUUGGACAUAGUACGGCGUGAUAAGUGUUCUUCGCCGGUGCCUCGCAAAGAGGGUGGCCGAUCGGGAUGUUGUGCUCCAAACCGUCUUCGGACAAUCUCUGACGACUUGACCUCAAAUCGAGUAAGACUACCCGCUGAACUUAAGCAUAUCAAAGCGGAGGA